GGGUCAGUAGGUUGGUCGUGCCACCGGUACGUACUGGUCUCAUUGAUUCCUCCUUCCUGAAGAACCGUAAUGCCAUUAAUUUGGUGUUGCGGGGAAACAGGACUGCUACUUUGAAAAAAUUAGAGUGUUUAAAGCAAGCUAACGCUUGAAUACAUUAGCAUGGAAUAAUGAAAUAGGACGAUCGAUCCUAUUUUGUUGGUUUCUAGGAUUGACGUA
rnacentral:rRNA from 1 species